UUCGGUGGGGAUUAGUGGCGAACGGGUGAGUAACACGUGGGCAAUCUGCCCUUCACUCUGGGACAAGCCCUGGAAACGGGGUCUAAUACCGGAUAGCACUUCCACGGGCAUCUGUGGGGGUUGAAAGCUCCGGCGGUGAAGGAUGGGCCCGCGGCCUAUCAGCUUGUUGGUGAGGUAAUGGCUCACCAAGGCGACGACGGGUAGCCGGCCUGAGAGGGCGACCGGCCACACUGGGACUGAGACACGGCCCAGACUCCUACGGGAGGCAGCAGUGGGGAAUAUUGCACAAUGGGCGCAAGCCUGAUGCAGCGACGCCGCGUGAGGGAUGACGGCCUUCGGGUUGUAAACCUCUUUCAGCAGGGAAGAAGCGCAAGUGACGGUACCUGCAGAAGAAGCGCCGGCUAACUACGUGCCAGCAGCCGCGGUAAUACGUAGGGCGCAAGCGUUGUCCGGAAUUAUUGGGCGUAAAGAGCUCGUAGGCGGCUUGUCACGUCGGGUGUGAAAGCCCGGGGCUUAACCCCGGGUCUGCAUUCGAUACGGGCUAGCUAGAGUGUGGUAGGGG
rnacentral:rRNA from 1 species